UUUAUUUUGUACGCGUUCAGUACUCGCUCGAAUCUUAUCGGCUGAGACCCUGAUUAUUUGUUGAGAAAAUUUCAGUUUACACAUGUGCUUGCAGUCAGCAGAGAUAGCAUAAACUGUUAUGUCAAUACUGUUUAUUUAAGAAAUACUUGUAGUAUGUAGAUACUAGAGCCCCUAUCGAACUUGUCAAUAGGUAAAGAUAACGGAUAGUAGAUAGUUCAAGUCGUAAUCGCUUGUAAAGUAUUCAGCAAAUAAUUUCUUUAUACACAUUUGUCGCCACUAAAAAUGUGAAUCCAAAUGGAUACAACAAAGUUUCAGCUCUAAAAGCUUCCACUCCCUGUUCAAACAGAGUUUUCAAAGUAAAAGUACAUUUUUCCAAACAAAAAAUAUCAGUCAGAGAACAAUGGACCCCGCUCCCACGACAGUUCACAUAAUCUGAAUGGUAUACGUAACGGAAGCGAAUUUUUAGCUGACUAGAGACUGUCAACUACUCAGCCGAAUAUCUCAAAUUGAUUUGAGAAAUGUUUUCUGUCAUUACAAAAUCAACAACGAACUUCCAAAAUCAUAAUUACUUAAAAGGUAAGGAAAUUAGGACGUUUUAAAUUUUUUUUUUUAAUAAUUUUUAGAAUAAACUUUUUCAGUGGUGUAAGUAACCCGUUAGGAUUUAACGGUAAACUUAAAAAAAUCUUAUGUUUAAAAAAUCAAUGAAACAUUAAAAUACUCAUAUUCACGCAUCAUCAUAUCUAGCUCCCAACAGUUUAACAAAUAAAUUCAACACUUCUAAAACCAUUUCCCCUCGCUGCUUACCAAAUAGAAGCACAAUAAUCGCAAUCAUUGCAAAGAAUAUGGCAUAAUCCCAAGAACUGUGUACGGGACCAGGUUGUGCGUAGCGACGCAUAAAAUCCUCGGCGCUGCCUUCUUGUGGAUUAUAAAGAUUCUCCUUUAGAUUGGCUUUCUCCUCAUCGCUUAUACCGUCCAUUUGUUCGAUUAACUUCCAAACCUCAUCCACACUGGGCAUCUUAAAAUC